GUUAAGGUGGCAGAGCCUGGUAAUUGCAAAAGACCUAAGUCCUUUAAUUCAGAGGUUCAAUUCCUCUCCUUAACU
rnacentral:tRNA from 1 species